UACGUAGGGACCGAGCGUUGUCCGAAGUUACUGGGCGUAAAGCGCGCGUAGGCGGUCUCUUAAGUCUGGUGUGAAAGGUUCAGGGCUCAACCCGAAGAGUGCACUGGAUACUGGGAGACUUGAGUUUGGGAGAGGAGAGUGGAAUUCCUGGUGUAGCGGUGAAAUGCGUAGAUAUCAGGAGGAACACCGAUGGCGAAGGCAGCUCUCUGGCCCAAAACUGACGCUGAGGUGCGAAAGCGUGGGGAGCGAACGGG
rnacentral:rRNA from 1 species